AGCUCCAAUAGCGUAUAUUAAAGUUGUUGCGGUUAAAAAGCUCGUAGUUGGAAUUCUGCUGAGGACAACUGGUCUGCCCUCUGGGUGAGUAUCUGGUCUGGCCUUGGCAUCUUCUUGGGCAACACACUUGCACUUGAUUGUGUGAUGUGGAACUCAAGGCUUUUACUUUGAGGAAAUCAGAGUGCUUCCAGCAGGCAAAUGCCUUGAAUACAUUAGCAUGGAAUAAUACUAUAAGGCU
rnacentral:rRNA from 1 species